rnacentral:rRNA from 1 species
CCUACGGGAGGCAGCAGUAGGGAAUUUUCCGCAAUGGGCGAAAGCCUGACGGAGCAAUACCGCGUGAGGGAUGACGGCCUGUGGGUUGUAAACCUCUUUUCUCAAGGAAGAAGUUCUGACGGUACUUGAGGAAUAAGCAUCGGCUAACUCUGUGCCAGCAGCCGCGGUAAUACAGAGGAUGCAAGCGUUAUCCGGAAUCACUGGGCAUAAAGCGUCUGUAGGUUGUUUAGUAAGUCUGCUGUUAAAGACUGGGGCUUAACCCCAGAAAAGCAGUGGAAACUGCUAGACUCGAGUGUGGUAGAGGUAGAGGGAAUUCCUAGUGUAGCGGUGAAAUGCGUAGAUAUUAGGAAGAACACCAAUGGCGAAGGCACUCUACUGGGCCAUAACUGACACUGAGAGACGACAGCUAGGGGAGCAAACGGGAUUAGAUACCCCGGUAGUCCUAGCCGUAAACGAUGGAUACUAGAUGUUGCACGUAUUAACCCGUGCAGUAUCGUAGNUAGAGUAGUAUCCGCCUGAGAGCGUCGCGAGAGAGAAGACAAGUAAGUAGUUAGAGUGAGAGAGCGACGAGACGACGAGAGGAGGAG